UUUCUUGCUACAUUGAAAUGGAUGGAUUAGAGAUGACUCUGAAGAAAUGUUAGGUGAACAAUACAGGUGAUGAGCUAGAAAAGUGCUUCUUUUGAAUGUUGGUAGUGAGAAAGGUUGUUUGAUAAUCCAUUUUGCAAUUUACGAGAAUGUUAUAGAGAUUCAUCAAAGAAAUUAUGGAUCAGCAGUUGGGAGGAGUAAAAUAAAUAAAUAUACUGUCAUCAUAUCAUAGCUUAUAGGUGCCAAGUUUCAUUCAGUUUUAUCUCCCAGAACACAAAUAUACAUCCUGAGCUUUUGGUUCUUAACAUGCACCAAGGUCGUCUAAGAACCAAUAUAUGCAGUCCUUCAGUUGUCAUACAAGUGGAUCAUUAACAAUGUGCAAGAUUUGUCAAGUUGAGAUUCAAUACUCAAAUAAUGCAGGAGCAGCCAAACAACAGCGAAGGAAAAAAAGAGGCUAAACUCACUUUGGUUCUGAUUUGAUGCAAGAAAUCUUCCUUUUCAUCUAUAUCCUUGCCAUUUGCAGAUUGAUUAGCUUCUUUCUGGCAAUUGAACUCCUGCUGGCCCUGUUGCUGCAGACACAGAAUCCCAUGGCAAAGAUUUAGUUCAUGUUCCUCGUUGUGAUAAAAUGAAAUAGAUUGAAGCCAGCAAAUAGAUAUACUAUUGUAUGAAUGUCAUUAUACCUUGCUUUUAGGUUUAAAUGCAAUAGUAUCCUCUUUCAUUUUCUGUUCAACAGCUGGGGCAGGCUUAGGUUGCUGGGGCACAGUAGAUUCCAAAGGUUUUAUAUCAAAUGCAUGUUCAUGAGCUUUGGAUAGAGAAUGUUGUUUGCCUUCUGAUAUACUAGAGUGGGGCUUUGAAACUCUCCAUUGAACUGGAGGAAGAGGUGGUGGCAAUGGAGUGGAAUCGUUAAGAUGCUCCAACUCUAUUUGAUUCGUUUGAACUAAAUUAUCCCUUGUUUUUCCAUUCACUACAGGGUUCAUGGCAUCAAAACAUGGCAGAUCCAAUGAAGCAGAUAGAUAUGGAUCUGCACCAUUCUCAGUAUACAUGCCUGGAAGUCCCCUAUCAACGCAAAUACCAUUAUUGCCAGCUUCCCCAGGCUGCGGUGAGCUUGCAAAAGAUUCACCUGGAAAUAUCCCGCGCGAAGCAUCAUACAGCUCAUGGUCCUUGCUUUCAGGAGACUCGUCAGAUUCCCACUGCUCAGAAUGUGAUUCAGAGUCAUGGCUAAGACAAUCAUCAGACAUAUAAGGAGAUGAUCUACAGAACGUAUCAUCAUCAGAUUCAGAACCCACAUGGCGCGGUGGAAUAGCAGUCUCCGGAAUCAAUUGAAAUGAUGGAAACAUGUCUCUAAUGCUUGCAUUACCGUGGUUCCCAUCAGGAAACUUCAGUUUCAGUUUAGAAUCCUCAAAGCCAUUGAUAGGGUGGAAAGAUAUUUUCAUAUGUUCCAAUGGUGGUGAAGACAUAAGUGAAUCAAUAGAAUAUUUACUUCCAAACU